UACGGAGGGAGCUAGCGUUGUUCGGAAUUACUGGGCGUAAAGCGCACGUAGGCGGCUUUCAAGUCAGGGGUGAAAGCCCGGGGCUCAACCCCGGAAUAGCCCUUGAAACUGGAAGGCUAGAAUCACGGAGAGGUGGGUGGAAUUCCGAGUGUAGAGGUGAAAUUCGUAGAUAUUCGGAAGAACACCAGUGGCGAAGGCGGCCCACUGGACGUGUAUUGACGCUGAGGUGCGAAAGCGUGGGAGCAAACAGG
rnacentral:rRNA from 1 species